AGCCGCAGCGAAAGCGAGUCUGAAUAGGGCGUGCAGUAUGAGGUCGUCGACCCGAAACCAGGUGACCUACCCAUGUGCAGGGUGAAGGUGCGGUGAAACGCACUGGAGGCCCGAACCCACGUAUGUUGAAAAAUGCGGGGAUGACGUGUGGGUAGCGGUGAAAUUCCAAUCGAACCUGGAGAUAGCUGGUUCUCUCCGAAAUAGCUUUAGGGCUAGCCUCGGAUGAUGCAUCGUGGAGGUAGAGCGACUGUUUGGACGAGGGCCCCUUGCGGGGUACCGAAUCCUGAUAAACUCCGAAUGCCACAGAUGUUAAUCCGGGAGUCACACUGCGAGUGAUAAGAUCCGUAGUGGA
rnacentral:rRNA from 1 species